UACGAAGGGGGCUAGCGUUGUUCGGAUUUACUGGGCGUAAAGCGCACGUAGGCGGGUCGUUAAGUCGGGGGUGAAAUCCUGGGGCUCAACCUCAGAACUGCCUUCGAUACUGGCGACCUCGAGUCCGGGAGAGGUGAGUGGAACUCCGAGUGUAGAGGUGAAAUUCGUAGAUAUUCGGAAGAACACCAGUGGCGAAGGCGGCUCACUGGCCCGGUACUGACGCUGAGGUGCGAAAGCGUGGGGAGCAAACAGGAUUAGAUACCCCCGUAGUCC
rnacentral:rRNA from 1 species